GACGAACGCUGGCGGCGUGCCUAACACAUGCAAGUCGAACGGAGAUGUAAUUUCGGUUAUAUCUUAGUGGCGAACGGGUGAGUAACGCGUGAGCAACCUGACUCUUAGAGGGGGAUAACACCCGGAAACGAGUGCUAAUACCGCAUAAGACCACGACAUGGCAUCAUGACGAGGUCAAAGGAGCAAUCCGCUGAGAGAGGGGCUCGCGUCCCAUUAGAUAGAUGGCGGGGUAACGGCCCACCAUGUCAGCGAUGGGUAGCCGAGCUGAGAGGCUGAUCGGCCACACUGGAACUGAGACACGGUCCAGACUCCUACGGGAGGCAGCAGUGGGGAAUCUUGCGCAAUGGGGGAAACCCUGACGCAGCAACGCCGCGUGAGUGAGGAAGGCCUUCGGGUCGUAAGCUCUGUCAGAUGGGAAGAAAUAGGAUGGGGGGUAAUAUCGCCCAUCCUUGACGUACCGAUCAGAGGAAGCACCGGC
rnacentral:rRNA from 1 species